CGGAGGGUGCAAGCGUUGUCCGGAUUUAUUGGGUUUAAAGGGUGCGUAGGUGGCUCUAUAAGUCAGUGGUGAAAGUCUGCAGCUUAACUGUAGAACUGCCAUUGAUACUGUGGAGCUUGAGUACUGAUGAGGUAGGCGGAAUUGAUAGUGUAGCGGUGAAAUGCAUAGAUAUUAUCAAGAACACCGAUUGCGAAGGCAGCUUACUAAGGAGUUACUGACGCUGAGGCACGAAAGCGUGGGGAUCAAACAGGAUUAGAUACCCUGGUAGUCCACGCCAUAAACGAUGAUUACUCGAUGUAUGCGAUAGACAGUAUGCGUCCAAGCGAAAGCGUUAAGUAAUCCACCUGGGGAGUACGACCGCAAGGUUG
rnacentral:rRNA from 1 species